CGACUCUCGGCAACGGAUAUCUCGGCUCUCGCAUCGAUGAAGAACGUAGCGAAAUGCGAUACUUGGUGUGAAUUGCAGAAUCCCGUGAACCAUCGAGUCUUUGAACGCAAGUUGCGCCCGAAGCCUUCGGGCCGAGGGCACGCCUGCCUGGGCGUCACGCAUCGCGUCGCCCCCACCAC
rnacentral:rRNA from 1 species